UGGGGAAUAUUGGGCAAUGGGGGAAACCCUGACCCAGCAACGCCGCGUGAGGGAAGAAGGUUCUCGGAUUGUAAACCUCUGUCCUUGGUGACGAAACAAAUGACGGUAGCCAAGGAGGAAGCCCCGGCUAACUACGUGCCAGCAGCCGCGGUAAUACGUAGGGGGCAAGCGUUGUCCGGAAUGACUGGGCGUAAAGGGCGUGUAGGCGGCCGAUUAAGUCUGGAGUGAAAGUCCUGCUUUCAAGGUGGGAAUUGCUUUGGAAACUGGUUGGCUUGAGUGCGGAAGAGGGAAGUGGAAUUCCUAGUGUAGCGGUGAAAUGCGUAGAUAUUAGGAGGAACACCAGUGGCGAAGGCGGCUUUCUGGACAGUAACUGACGCUGAGGCGCGAAAGCGUGGGGAGCGAACAGG
rnacentral:rRNA from 2 species